rnacentral:rRNA from 1 species
UAACACGUGGAUAACCUGCCUUAUACUGGGGGAUAACAGCCAGAAAUGGCUGCUAAUACCGCAUAAGCGCACGGCGCCGCAUGGCGCAGUGUGAAAAACUCCGGUGGUAUAAGAUGGAUCCGCGCCUGAUUAGCUAGUUGGCGGGGCAGCGGCCCACCAAGGCGACGAUCAGUAGCCGGCCUGAGAGGGCGACCGGCCACAUUGGGACUGAGACACGGCCCAAACUCCUACGGGAGGCAGCAGUGGGGAAUAUUGCACAAUGGGGGAAACCCUGAUGCAGCGACGCCGCGUGAGUGAAGAAGUAUCUCGGUACGUAAAGCUCUAUCAGCAGGGAAGAAAAUGACGGUACCUGACCAAGAAGCCCCGGCUAACUACGUGCCAGCAGCCGCGGUAAUACGUAGGGGGCAAGCGUUAUCCGGAUUUACUGGGUGUAAAGGGAGCGUAGACGGCAGCACAAGUCUGGAGUGAAAUCCCGGGGCUUAACCCCGGAACUGCUUUGGAAACUGUGCGGCUGGAGUGCAGGAGGGGUAAGCGGAAUUCCUAGUGUAGCGGUGAAAUGCGUAGAUAUUAGGAGGAACACCGGUGGCGAAGGCGGCUUACUGGACUGUAACUGACGUUGAGGCUCGAAAGCGUGGGGAGCAAACAGGAUUAGAUACCCUGGUAGUCCACGCCGUAAACGAUGAUUACUAGGUGU